rnacentral:lncRNA from 1 species
CACUUUUGAAGCUACGCUCCGCCAACAGUUAUCAUGGCGUAUAACGGCGUACCUUUAUUCCGCGGUUCAUUCAACUUCAGAAACUUGGUAGGGAGGACGGCAUGGCCGCACCCAUACGGAUUAUGAUAUUGGAGGCCGCCAUCGUCAAAGGGCUUUUAUUCCGUACAGCCAAGGACAAAUGGAAUGUCACAGAGUAAAAGUCUUGGGUCCUACAUUGGCAGGGGACCUAUUCAAUACUUGUGUAUAUAUAUUUCUAGGAGAAACUGACAUGUAUUCUGAAAAAUACUUUUUCUCUAUAUUUUUCCCUCUGAUUUAAAGACUUUUUUUUCCUGAAUUGCUGAACAACUCACUGUCUUUAAUAGCACUUUUGAAAAUGUUAUCUUUCUGAGAAAUUGUAUCUUUGUUAUCCUUACACCAUUGCUCUCUAUACCUGGAUGAACCUAUUGAUGAAGUAACCUACCAAGCGACCACCUGAAGAGAGAAUUUAGGGCUCUUGGGACACUUCAUUUAAAGAGAGGCGAAUGAAAAAAAUAUAAUCAAGUUAAAGGAAAAAAACACAAUUACUGAGAUCAAUGUCAGCCAGCCCAACUGGGCAGAAUUUUCAGGAAGAGGUUGUUCAAUCAAAUAAACAAAAAUAUAUUCUAGAAGAUCAAGCAUUUUUUCAAGUGCCGAAUGGCCACUCAUUUAUCCUCUUUGCUGAAGCAACUCUUCAAAUCUUCCACCCAUUUUUCAUUGUGUUUUAAAAUUAUUGUGUUGUGAAAAUUUUUUAUAUAUUCUAAAAAUAAGUCUUUUAGAGAUAUACAUAUCACAAACAUUUUUCUUCCAGUCUGUGGUUGCUUUUUUAUUUCAUCUAUUCUAAUCUUUAGAAGUUUAAAAAUUUGAUUAUGACAUUCUAGAAGAGUUUUUUAAGAUUGGAGUUGGCUAUUCCUCAAGAAGACAGACAAAACUUUCUGACUAUGAAUCUUCAUAUAUCUUGUGUAGAUGAAAGUCAAAAAAGAAAAAUAAAAAGAAAGAGAAUUCUGGCUCUUGAAACUUAAAUAAAGAGCUUCAAAAUUAAAAGCCUUCAAAAAAUAAAGACAAAAAGUCUUGUGCAGAUGAAAGUCAAAAAAGAAAAAGAAAAACAAUUCUGGUUCUUGAAACUUAAAUAAAAGUGCUUCAAAAUUAAAGUGCUUCAAAAAAUAAAGACAACUGUUUGCAACUUAUGAGGACUUCAGAAUUUCAAAUGCUUUGCUUUAAACUAUGCCAAGAACUCUCAUCCUGGCCAACUUCAAACCAGUCUACUGCCUUCAUGACUCAACGCCUUAUUAAAUAAUGAUCUCAACAAGAUGCCUGCCCUCAAAAUAUCUGAUAGCAAUUGUGCCUGUUUUUUUUUUCCUGGAAAUCAAAGAAAGUAAACAACCAAGAGCAUUAAAAGAAACUUUACCCAAAAAAUAUAGUAUUGAACAGACCAUUCUAUAUACAGAAAUGAAACUGUUUAUCACCUUCAUUUAUAGCUAAGGAUAAAUGCUCGCCCACUGACUAAAAUGACCCUUUUCUUUCAUAUAUCUCAUUUUAAGCAAACCUAUUCUAAGACCUCUGGUAAAAAGAGACUUCAUCACUCUGAGAUAUAGGAUUCAAAAGCAAAAUACAAAUUAACAGUUGUGAUUCGCAUCACAAGAAAUUGUAUGCUAAGGAAGUGUGCUGAAGUUUUCCCAAAGUUCAAUUACUGAUCUGUUCAAAUGGAUCCAAUAUUAAGAUUCUAAGAACAUCAUUCUGAUUCAUUCAUAUUCUGAUAUUGCACCUUCCACAGAAGUAAAGGAAGAGGAGCCCUUGGAAAUUGCAUGUGGCCUGAAGACAAACUUUGGCCAAGCCUAUGAAAAUGAGAUUCUUAGUCUGCUUAGGGUUUAUGUGGGAAAAUGGCUGAGGGCUUUGGCUGGAGGAAUGAAGGUCACUGACAGGUUUUAAUCAGGAGUGUGAUCUCCUUUAUUCUUGUGUCUAGAAUGACUAUCCAAACUGCCAAUUAACAAAACUGGAAAAAUUAAUAAUUCCUGAAACGAGAGAGGCAAUGGUUACUCUCAUUCAAGAUUGGGGAAAUGGACACUGUUUCAGCCGUUUUCUCAAACUCCUGGCCUCAAGCAAUCCUUCCAUCUUGGCCUCCCAAAGUGCUAGGAUUACAGGUGUGAGCCACUGUGCAUGGCCUGUUACAGCCAUUUUUGAAAGCAGUUUGUAAAUACUCAUCUUUGUCUUGCAAACAUAUUACUUUCUCUUGAAAAGGUGAUCCAGUUUCUGCUAAAAAUAUCUUCUACGGAAAUAAUCAGAAAUUAUAUUUUUACACGAGUCACAUUUGUAGCUUGAAGUCAGUCAUGAUAGAAGUGUUUACACUGCAGAAAUUGGCAAAUACUAUCCAUCAAGUCUUGAUUUAUCAUUUUAUUGAUUGUCUACGCUUGAUAUAGUGAUGAAUAAAAUAUUAAUAAUGCAACUUAAAAGAUGUUAAUAUCUGCAGUCAUUACACUGUAAAUAGCACAAAAAUUCAGAAAUAUUCUUCUAGUGUAGAUAUUCCAAAACUUAUCUGAUUAAACAAAGAGUUUACUCCUGUCAUUGACAGAAGAAUAAAAUCCCACCAUACAUCUCAUUAUUUCUGUUUUAUCUUACUCCUUAAUGUAAAUGAAAAUAUCAACCAACAUUCAUAACUACACAGUGUACUGUUCAUCAAUUGCCAUUAUAAGUUAGCUCAAGUUGCAAAAGUUCAGAAAAAUCAGUGAAAACAUUCUGUGAGAAUCAGUUGAUUAUGUAGAAUUUACAAUAAAAAGUAUAGUACAUUUUAUUAUUAUUUAAAAGUUACGUGCUGCAGGGAGAUGAAGGCCCGUGGGACGUGACCAACUCAGCAUUCCACUGGAGGCUAUAUGAUCAAACAGCAAACUGUUUAUCAUGAAUGCAGGAUGUGGGCAAACUCACAAUUACUCCCACUGCCAGAAGGUUUGCUGAGGGCCAUUGCUUCCUGGCGCCGAGCUCCUUGAAGUUAUCUACUGGGACAUCUAGAGAAUGCAGUCUUGCAAGCCUACUCUGGACCAAGCAGCUGACCUCUUCUUCCACCCCACUUCUCGCUAUCUCUUUUGCCUAAUAAAUACAGAGGGCUGUGUAAAGUUCAGGGCCCUUGUCCACUAGAGGCAAGGUGCCCCCUGACCCCUUCUUCCAAACAUGCUCUUUUG